rnacentral:tRNA from 1 species
UCCCUGGUGGUCCAGUGGUUAGGACUCAGUUCUGUCACUGCCAAGGGUCAGGUUCAAUCCCUGGUCAGGGAA